rnacentral:rRNA from 1 species
UACGUAGGGGGCAAGCGUUGUCCGGAUUUAUUGGGCGUAAAGAGCUCGUAGGUGGUUCGGUAAGUCGGAUGUGAAAUCUCCAGGCUCAACCUGGAGGGGUCAUUCGAUACUGCCGUGACUAGAGUUCGGUAGGGGAGUGUGGAAUUCCUGGUGGAGCGGUGAAAUGCGCAGAUAUCAGGAGGAACACCGGUGGCGAAGGCGGGUCACUGGCCCCGGUACUGACGCUGAGGCACGAAAGCGUGGGGAGCAAACAGG